ACAAAAAACAGCUUUAUCUCUGUCAGACACCAGCUGGCAAGACACCUGUGUCUGCGCAGCCAGAGAGAGAGGUGGGGUGACAAUUUCACAUGUAAUAAAUCUAUUCAUCCAAUGGAAAUCAUGACCAAAAUAUGAACCCCCCCCCACAAUGUUACCAUUGUAUUGUAUUUAGUUUUAAAUUCAGGCAAUUAUGUGUUAGAGCUAGGAUCAGUUUACAAGGACAGAAAAACCUUUGUGUGUUUUAGUCAGGGGGAGAGAGAAGAGGAACCUGACGCCUGAGCAGAGGCGACAGACAGCUGGCCAAAAAGGCACAAUGAAGUCCCAGCCUCAAAAGCACUGUCAACAGAAGGGCUUUACAUCAGGACAUCAUCCAGGAGGAAGCAACGUCUGUGUGUAAAUGACCGUGUGGUCAUGGAGAGAAGGAGAGGAGGAACUGGAAGAUUCAUCGGACCACUGGACGACAUAGACACUGCAGACAUCUAUAUCGGAGGGGAACUGGACACAGCCAGUGGAGAAAAUGAUGGAGGCCUCCACUGUAUCAGAUCUCUCGGUCACCCCACUCCUCCAAAGCCCCAGACAACAACGGUAAUGACUCUGGGUUGA
rnacentral:lncRNA from 1 species